UUAAGAUAAACAUCGAAAAUAAUCGACAAAAGGGUUUUUGCAUUAAAAUGAUAUUUCGUUGGGUCCUCUACCUUGAGGUUACUACACUUAGGGCCACAUAAAGCUUGAAGGUUAUAGUUUAGCAUAGCUGCCAACCGAUCUACAAUUUCAACGGCACAAAAGGCUUUAGGAAUUGAGGAAGUGAACAAUUUGAGCAUAAAAAUAGUUUCAUUCCCUAACUGGCAAUAAGUAGAAGCUUGACGUUCUGCGGCCGCUAAGUUGCUUUGCGAUUCUUGAACAUUCUGGUUAGAGUUGCUAUUGCUUAUUGCAUCUGCCAAAAGGCUCUGAAGGUUGUGAAUCUCGGUUAGUUUUAAAAGAGCCUCAUCAAGAAGAUAUGUAGCAUCAUUAAGCAUGAGAGCUACAAAUUUAACAAAAAACGGCAAAUUUGUUUUUUGCUCCUGCUCCAGCUUACCAAAAUAGGCUGGUUGCUUCCAAAUAGUUCUAAAUACUUCGCAUAUAUAGAAACGAAUGUUGAAUUUAUCAUAAAAUUGGGUAGAUUGUCCUGUAGAUUCAAUCUCAAUAUAAAACGCCAUAAGUGCUGGAAGUAACCACCUUGUUGCAACCUUCGACGUACGUACAACAUCUAACAACAAUUCUGAUCUUCCCACGUGCGUUUGCACUCCAAAGUAUAAAAUCUCGGCAAGUUUCGCUCGCAAAUAAGGAUUUUUGAUAUAAUUAGCUUGAGUUAGAAACGACACACAAAAUUCACACAAAGGCUCUAAGGAAUGCAGCGUCAAAGUACUCGACGAGGUUUUAAAUAAAGACAACAUAUAAUCUGUAAUGGUUUCAAUAAAAUAUUCAGGUAAACAUUUGAAAGCUUCCGGUGCAUUUUCAUUAAACGGUAACGAUAGCGGCAUUUUUGGAUAUGUCGAAGAUUGACCAUCAGCUAACCUCGAUAACCAAAUGGCAACGAAAUUAAGAAAAGAAAAUGAUCUUGAAGUAUCAGAUGUCUGCGUAAGCAUAAUCUCAUAACAGUGCACAAACGAUCUAUCUAAAUCCAAUCUUUGAUCAAGCCGACUUAAUUGAGCAGUGAGACGUGUCGCUUGAAAACUACCGCUCAUAUUUUGCUGUUCAGUCUCUAAUCUUUCUUUCAGUUUCUCGCUAUCACGAAUUGAUUGCACAAGUUGCUCUAAAGCCUUAAAGGUAGCAUUUACACCAUAAUGAUGAAAUGCGAGAUUUAAAAAAAAUAUGUCUGAAAUAAAGUUAUUGGAACCCUCGGCUGGUUUUGAAUAAAACGAUUCCGAAGCCUUUUGAUCAGCAUUCAAUUUAGUCUCUUCUUUGAUAUCAACGCGAGGGUUUCUCCUAAAAUAUUCAACUUGUACUCUGUCAAUUUUCGAACAUCCUAUGUCAAGAAAUGGUUCAGAAAGUCUGCUUAACACAUGUGAAAAAUUUAGCAUGCAGGCGUCAGAUGUAAUAUCAAAAUGAUUAACUUGAAUGGAUUGUCGCUUGUGAUUGGCAUUUACCACCAUGGCAAAGAAAUCCAACACAGACUCUCUCAAAGAUGUAGAUGUUCGAAUGAGGGUAUUGAAAAUUUGAAAAAGGACAUCCUGAUAAGUAGACAUAGUCAAUUUUAAAGAACUUAUUGACGAAGAUAUAUUUUGGGCUGAUCUCUCAGUAGAAUUGGAAAAAUAUCGAGAAGCGACAUCUUGAGUAAACACUGACAAGCUUGAUAUUCUUCCAAGAAACGUUUUGUACUCAAUUUCUCCAGCAUUAUUCGUAGGAUUCCAAGAAGGCAACUUCGGCAAA